UGCUUCAACAGAAAUGGAGCACUCGAAUAGAAUUUUAGCAGAGUUUAGAGAUAGUACUGAGAGCCUAGAGGAGAACGUAUCUAGGGGGUCUCUUUCAUAGAUGGGAGAGCAUAAUCGAUUGACAGUGACGUCCGUAACUACCUAGUAGUAGGCCGUUCGGGGCCACGUGGAGUUUGUUACAGAGAGUAGUGGUGUCCGUUGUCAUGACUUGCCGG
rnacentral:lncRNA from 1 species